AUGAAGAGAGCCAACAGGGAGGAGGAGCAGGGAGAAGGUGCAGGGAGGAGGAGCAGGGAGGAGGAGCAGGGAGGAGGUGCAGGGAGAAGGAGCAGGGACGAAGAGCAGGGACGAGGAGCAGGGAGGAGGUGCAGGGAGGAGGUGCAGGGACGAAGAGCAGGGACGAGGAGCAGGGACGAGGAGCAGGGAGAAGGUGCAGGGAGGAGGUGCAGGGACGAAGAGCAGGGACGAGGAGCAGGGACGAAGAGCAGGGAGAAGGUGCAGGGACGAGGAGCAGGGAGGAGGAGCAGGGAGGAGGUGCAAGGAGAAGGAGCAGGGACGAGGAGCAGGGAGAAGGUGCAGGGACGAGGAGCAGGGACGAGGAGCAGGGAGAAGGUGCAGGGAGAAGGUGCAGGGACGAGGAGCAGGGACGAGGAGCAGGGAGAAGGUGCAGGGACGAGGAGCAGGGACGAGGAGCAGGGAGAAGGUGCAGGGAGGAGGUGCAGGGACGAAGAGCAGGGACGAGGAGCAGGGACGAGGAGCAGGGAGAAGGUGCAGGGAGGAGGUGCAGGGACGAAGAGCAGGGACGAGGAGCAGGGACGAAGAGCAGGGAGAAGGUGCAGGGACGAGGAGCAGGGAGAAGGUGCAGGGACGAGGAGCAGGGAGAAGGUGCAGGGACGAGGAGCAGGGAGGAGGAGCAGGGACGAGGAGCAGGGAGGAGGAGCAGGGACGAGGAGCAGGGAGGAGGAGCAGGGAGGAGGGGCAGGGAGAAGGAGCAGGGACGAGGAGCAGGGAGGAGGAGCAGGGAGGAGGGGCAGGGAGAAGGAGCAGGGAGGAGGAGCAGGGACAAGGAGCAGGGACAAGGAGCAGGGAGGAGGAGCAGGGAGAAGGUGCAGGGACGAGGAGCAGGGAGGAGGAGCAGGGAGGAGGAGCAGGGACGAGGAGCAGGGAGGAGGAGCACGGACGAGGAGCAGGGACGAGGAGCAGGGAGGAGGAGCAGGGAGGAGGAGCAGGGAGGAGGAGCACGGACGAGGAGCAGGGACGAGGAGCAGGGAGGAGGAGCAGGGAGGAGGAGCAGGGACGAGGAGCAGGGACGAGGAGCAGGGAGAAGGAGCAGGGACGAGGAGCAGGGAGGAGGAGUUGCGCUCAGCCAGAUGUUUGAUGUGA
rnacentral:lncRNA from 1 species